rnacentral:misc_RNA from 1 species
GACUUUGAUUGAGCCCUCCAGGAUUCAAAAAGUCAUUCUCACUCCCAGUAGCAAGGCAAAUAAUGUUUGCAAGAGCCCAACCGACUGGUGGAAUCACCUUCGAAGAAUGCUGAAUUUUCAAAUGAUCCAUCUGGGACAUCUCUGUUAAUAUAUUAUCUCCCAAAAUCUGCCAUCAUCGGAAACUCCUGGUGGACCUUUGACUAUUUUUUCUUUGUCUGCAGAUCCCUAUAGCAGUAGCGUCUGAAGGCAUGGUGAGAGAAUAGAAUUGUGCUUCAAAGCAGAUACAAGAACAGCUGGGAGACGUUGAGUAAGCCUGGGAAUUGUAAGUAGAAACAAACAGUACUGCACAGCAGCAGAAUGCUUGUCCAGCAGGUCAAAUCCAGUUGAUAGAAAAUCUGUUGCAUGAAAUGGCCGUAAAGCUAAAGUUACUGCA